GGAGACCGUGGCUCAGUGGUUAGAGAUCUGCUUGGCAAUCGGAAGGUCCAGGUUCAAUCCCCGGCAUCUCCA
rnacentral:tRNA from 1 species